rfam:Ixodes scapularis strain Wikel colony gcontig_1108379026268, whole genome shotgun sequence.
CCCUGGUUAGCUCAGUUGGUUGAGCGCUCCACUUGUAAUGGAGAGGUCCCGGGUUCGAUACCCGAACCAGGCG